UGUGUCCUGGCAAUAUCACAAGAACCAUUACUGAUGAAUGGUGAAAGUGAAAAUUGUCAAUAUCAAAUUUGUCCUCCAUUUUGUCAUCAGUAUCAACAUAUUAAAAUUUGAAAAGCUUAGAUGGAAUGGUUCACGAGUAAAUGCAACAACGUGAAUGGAAACGCCAUUUUACGAUCUUUCAAGAACCAUAACUCCUGAACGGUAAAAGUCAAAAUCGUCAUUAUUGAACUUGACCUCUAUUUUGUCAUCAGUAACAACA
rnacentral:lncRNA from 1 species